AUGCACCAGGCGGUGAACUACCUGAGCCAGGAGCUCUACUCCAAGGACGUCCACUUCCUCAUGGAGCUCGUCCAGAACGCUGAAGACAAUGAGUACCCUGAUGGAGUAGCACCGUCAUUGGAGUUUCUAGUAACAUCAACUGACAUCACUGGAUCUGGUGCAUCGUCAACUUUACUCAUUUUCAACAACGAGAAGGGCUUUUCUCCAUCGAAUAUUCAGUCUAUUUGUGGCGUGGGCAAAUCAACGAAAAAAGGAAACAGGGACAAGGGUUACAUUGGAGAGAAAGGUAUUGGAUUCAAAAGUGUGUUCCUGAUAUCAAGCCAGCCCCAUAUAUUCAGUAAUGGGUAUCAAAUCAAGUUUAAUGAGAAGCCGUGUCCAGAAUGCAAUAUUGGAUACAUUGUCCCAGAGUGGGUUGAAUCCAGGCCUAGCCUUUCAGAUAUCAAACAGAUAUAUGGGUCAACCAGAGUCCUUCCAACAACCUGUAUCGUCCUGCCUUUGAAGGAUGAGAAGGUCACUGCGGUGAAGCAGCAGCUUUCGAGCUUGCAUCCAGAAAUGCUACUGUUUCUGUCAAAGAUCAGGCGACUUUCUGUCUGUGAAGAUAACGGCAACGCUAGAGGCAGCACUGUUAGUGAGAUUGCAAUAUCGAGUGAGAAGAACAUUGAAGUGAGGAAGAACACGCACGCGGAGUCUUACACGGUCUUUUUAUCUGCUCAAGAGAACGAGAGUGAAGCAGAGUGCGGGUACCAUAUGUGGAGGCAGAGGUUCCCUGUCAAGGCAGAGAACAGGGUGGACAAGCGUACUGAAAUCGAUGAGUGGGUCAUCACCCUAGCCUUCCCUCUUAAGGAGCGACUAUCCCGUGGGAAGCAGCUAUCCCCUGGCGUGUAUGCUUUCCUUCCCACGGAGAUGGUGACCAACUUCCCCUUCAUCAUUCAGGCUGACUUCCUCCUUGCAUCUUCAAGAGAGGCGAUACUGUUCGAUAGUCCAUGGAACAAGGGAAUUCUGGAGUGUAUCCCAAGUGCAUUCAUGAAUGCCUUUGUAGCACUUGUCAAGUCCAGAACAGAUGCACCAGCAAUGACUAUUCCGUCGAUGUUCCAUUACCUGCCAGUCAGUCCUUCGCUGAUUCCUUUACUUGAGCCUGUUAGGUCUGGCAUCAAAGAGAAGGUUCUCGUCGAGGAUAUAGUCCCAUGUGAGUCUCACACUCCGCAGAAGAUGUUUUGCAAGCCUUGCGAGGUUGUGCGGCUCAAACCAGCAUUUUGGGAUAUCCUUGUCAAGGCGAGAGAAUCUGGAGUGGACCUUAAGAACCUGUCAACUCAUGGAACCUACAUUCUCAGCUCUCAUUUCGACAAGAGUGCAUACAACAGUGUUCUUACAUUUCUGGAUGUCAAAAGCGUGAGCCAUGAAUGGUAUGCAAAAUGCAUGGAGGGGUCUAAUCUUGUCAGCAAUGUAGAUGAACAGCUUUAUCUGGAACUCUUAUCCUUUGUCGCAGACAAUUGGCAAAACUUCUCCAGUACAAACUUGAUCGCAAUGCCUCUGCUGAAGUAUGUUGACAGGAACAGAGGUGUCUCUCUCUGGAGCAUAUCUAGAGCUAGUCAGUGGAGUGAUAGACUGUGUAUUGCAUCUGAUGGGAAGUGGAUGUCAUGGCUUAUCAGCUGGAACCAGGAGUUUCCAUCUUCUAACCGGCUCUUUGUGCCUCCCAAUACACAGGCUGCUCUACAAGGUUUUUCGCACAAGACAAAAGUGGCAGCUUGGCUUCAGAACCAUGCAAAAGUGGAGAUUGUGUCUGUAUACAGUUAUGGAAAUAUUGUGGUCAAGUCCUUGAACAAUGAUCGAAGGCCCGCCAUCGCCUUUUCUCACUUUCUGUAUCAUUCAUCCAAUAAGAAUUACAUGGAGAGCUAUCAAUUAGUAGACCUGUGUCGUACCAUGCCGGUAAUUGACAACUAUGGCAAUGCUGUCAUGGAAAGGCAAAGCAUUCUAGUUCCUGCAAAUGGUAGCAAAUGGGUUGGACUGAUGGGCACAAACCCAUGGAGGAAUGAGAAAUACAUUGAACUGUCAGCAGAUUACAAGUCAGCAGGUCAUUUCGCCGAGAACUACACACCUGCAGAUCAGAUCUUGGAUUUUCUCAAGACAAAGAUGCAGGCCUCGGAUGUGCCAUUCAUACACCCUCCAAAUGCAACUUUCCCGACAGCCUCAUCACCUCUGACUGUGGACAAUGCAAUCUUGCUACUGCAAUGGAUAAGAAAUUUAAAGUCAAAAGGUGUACAACUACCAGCUAGUUUCUUGGCUUGUGUGAAAGAAGGAAGUUGGCUGAAGACAUCAGUCGGAUACAAGCCCCCGGCUGAAUCAUUUAUGUCCAGUUCUGAGUGGGGUAAUCUCUUGCAAAAUGGAUCUUCCUGUGUUGAUAUAGCAAUGAUCGAUCAACAGUUCUAUCAAUACAAAAUGAAUGCAUAUAGGGAGGAACUCAAGGUGAUCGGGGUAAGAUUUGAAUUUGGGGAGGCAUCAGCUUACAUCAGCAGACGGCUCAUGUCGAUGGCUGCAAGCAAUAUGCUGACCAGACAGCAUGUAUAUGAGCUGCUUCGGCUGAUUCGGUUUCUUCAAUAG
rnacentral:rRNA from 1 species